UACAGAGGGGGCAAGCGUUAUUCGGAAUUAUUGGGCGUAAAGGGCGCGUAGGCGGCUUGGCAAGUGGAAGGUGAAAUCCCUCGGCUUAACCGAGGAACUGCCUUCCAGACUGCUUUGCUUGAGGCCGGGAGAGGCGAGUGGAAUUCCCAGUGUAGCGGUGAAAUGCGUAGAUAUUGGGAGGAACACCAGUGGCGAAGGCGGCUCGCUGGACCGGUUCUGACGCUGAGGCGCGACAGCGUGGGGAGCAAACAGG
rnacentral:rRNA from 1 species